AAUUGAAGCAGAGGACAGUGGCGGACGGGUGAGUAACGCGUGAGGAACCUGCCUCAUACAGGGGGAUAACAGCUGGAAACGGCUGCUAAUACCGCAUAAGCGCACAGCUUCGCAUGAAGCAGUGUGAAAAACUCCGGUGGUACAAGAUGGACCCGCGUCUGAUUAGAUAGUUGGUGAGGUAACGGCCCACCAAGUCAACGAUCAGUAGCCGGCCUGAGAGGGUGAACGGCCACACUGGAACUGAGACACGGUCCAGACUCC
rnacentral:rRNA from 1 species